UACUAGCCAACUCUUAAAACUCUUAGGAAAUACCAAUGUGUAUGCCUGGGAAGGGGAAGUGGGACUUAAGAUUCACCUUAUAAACCCCACAGGAAUACCAAACCACUGGGAAAUAGGGGUUAAAAUAGAAGGUCCCUAUGGGGCUACCACCUGGAGUUCCAGCUGCCCACAAUUACUGUACCAGUGGGAUGAGCCUGUUAAGACAGGAACAAUAUUAACAGUGAUUGUGGGAUACUGUCCAAUACCCCGUAGUAAAUUGAACCUAUGGUUCCCGGACACAUGAACAGAACCUGGACCAGACACUAUGCAUUCGAAAGAGGUACCCCAAUUAAGAUAAAGAAACCAAAAUUGUUUGUGACUCAAAGCGAUCCAGUAAAAGUUUUGUUAAACCCACUAUUAGUAAAAAUAAAAAUUGAUAUGGAUUAGACUCAGUUGAAUGUGUCUAAAUUGGAACCCAAAUGUUCACUCUAUUCCCUUCCUAUUAUAAUGGCCUGCAUAAAACCACAUCAAUACUCCAAUGGCCAAGCAAAACGACAGGAAGUAGACACCAUAUUAGGAGGAGGUGGAUUUGGAGCAGGAAUUAUGAAUGUUGUAGACCUGGAGGUAAUUAAGAAUAAGUUGAGUUUUUUGUCACAACUGCAAGAUAGUCUCAUUCACAAGCAGGCGGAUAGUACUGUGGAUUUGGUGCAAAUAGGUCUGGGAAACCUAAAAGCAUGUACCAGUUUCAGUUUUCCAUCUUUUUCAAUAUGGUAUAUCAAUGGGCUAAGGCGGUCCACUUUGGAGCAGGGCCUAUCCCUUUUGAUUCCAAUGAGUGGUUUCUUUUUCCCAUUUUAAGCCUCCUGCCAAAUCAAUUAUCCGCUUUUCCUGUGGUUCCACAACUACUUCCAAGAUAGCUUCCUCAGUCAUGCUGUGACACACCACUGUACCUGUUUACAAUUGAGGUUGAGCUACUACCUAUGGCAGGUGUUCCAAUAAGGUUCCUUUUACUUCUUUGCUGUGAAAUUGAAACAAAGGAAUGAUUUACCCUCUCUGCACAUUCUCCUGCACUGACUUAAUUAAAGUUUCCUCCGCUCCUGUACUAA